rnacentral:misc_RNA from 1 species
AUAAACCACCCAAAUACUCAA